AGACGCUGAUGAGGGCAUAGUACCAUCAUCUCCUUAUAUCAUUCCCAAGCUUCAAAAAGAGACUCUCCAUCUAUGUGUCUGAACGUAGUUACAUGAUUUAUUAGCAC